rnacentral:rRNA from 1 species
AUACCGCUAACCUCCCAGUUGUCGUUGUCCUCGUCGCGAUUCUCAAGUCUUCCUACAGCAUCGAGGAAAGGCAGCGUCAAGUGUAGCGAGGUUUACCUGCGGCGGUUGCGGCGGCCGGCCUCGCGGGCCUUGCGGAUCUUCUUGUCCUUGGUGUUCUCAUGCCGCCGGCGGCGCUUGAUCUCCUGGAGCAGGCCGGCCUUCAUCACCUCCCGCCGGAACCGCCGGAAGAUGGAGUCCUCCCCCUCGUUCUCGUCCACCACGAUCUGCACGUUGUAGCCCUUGGCGGCCAGCACGGACGUCGGCGCGCGGCGGGCGGUCAUGUGGACCGCCGAAGGCGCGGAGCUCUUCCGCGAGAACGGGGCCAGGGGAAGCUGGAGCAGGGCGCUCAGCAUGGAAGUGCCGGUAGGGGCGGCCAUGGCUGUGGCCUUCGACUAG